AUAAAAGACGGUUCAGUGUCAGGAAUAUUACCGACUAACGAGGUCUUUGCUGUUCAUUACCCUGCUUACCCUUCUUCAGUAGAACGUGCUGUUGAGACACUUGGUGGCAUUCAAGGUAUUGUCAAGGCUCGAACUUCACAGUCCAAUAAGUUGGAGCUCCAUUUCCGGCCAGAAGAUCCAUAUUCACACCCUACUUUCGGGGAGCUUAAGCAUAGCAAUAACUUCUUGUUGAAAAUAUCCAAGUGUAAAGUAAGGGAUGUCCGAUCUGCUGACUCUGCUGACAGUAGCUGUGGAAUAGUGAUACAAUCUUCAAGGAGUCUUGUUAAUUGUGAACAAGAAAAUGCUGCACCGAAGUUAAAUGAGCCUAGAUGUUUAUCUGCUGGUGCUUCAAAAGAAAUUGAAAUGCAGACAGAUACUAA
rnacentral:misc_RNA from 1 species